UGUUGGCCCGAGGACAUAUACGGUUUCAGGAACACACAUUUCACAUUUGCCGAAGCACACGGGCCUAGCUUCAGAGCAUCUUAAAAGACUGAUGUUCUGCCAAAUAUGCUGACAUACUUUAGGCAAUACUGGCCUCAUCUCUACCUAACAACCCGCUUGGAUUGAAUUGCCUGCACUGACUGUUACUGGAGUUCGUGAUGGAGAUUAAGCCACAGUUGUUCAUCUGUUCAACAAAGUCUGCCCGCUGUGCAAUCUGUGGCUCUCCAGGGCUGGGGUGUUGAAGAAAACCUGCUGGCUGUGAAACAGAAGGGGAGUUGUUUUAUUUCAUGCCGGUACUUUUCAGCGUGAGCAAGCUUAUUUCUUGUUAAAAAAAAAAAAGAGGCAAAAACUUAAUCUCUCGAUCCUUUGAACUGAGGAGACAUUUUUAAAAACAUACAAUUUUCCUCAUACAAGGUAGUGGUAUUUUUCCUAAGGGGGACACAGAUUGCCCCA
rnacentral:lncRNA from 1 species